AUGCCCCUGGACUUCACCAAGCACUUCGUCGUGGUGCCGAAGGAGUUCAAGCUCAGGAACAACACCGGCUGCUCCUGGAAGGUGACGGUGAAGCUGAUGAACGGCAGGGCGACCCUGGAUCAGGGUUGGGCCACCUACGCAGUCGUUCAUCAGAUCAAGAUCGGCUACAUGGUGACGUUCAAGCUCCUCACUCCCGACACCCUCAAGGUCAUCAUCUUCGACGACGAUGGCAUUGAGGUCGUCAACAAGUGAGGGAAGCACGAGGAAGCCUUUGCCGCCAAGGAAUAG
rnacentral:rRNA from 1 species